UCUCAGUUCGGAUUGGAGUCUGCAACCCGACUCCAUGAAGCUGGAUUCGCUAGUAAUCGCGCAUCAGCCACGGCGCGGUGAAUACGUUCCCGGGUCUUGUACACACCGCCCGUCAAGCCAUGGGAGCCGGGGGUACCUGAAGUGCGUAACCGCGAGGAGCGCCCUAGGGUAAAACUGGUGACUGGGGCUAAGUCGUAACAAGGUACC
rnacentral:rRNA from 1 species